GAUGAACGCUGGCGGCGUGCCUAAUACAUGCAAGUCGAGCGAACAGACGAGGAGCUUGCUCCUCUGACGUUAGCGGCGGACGGGUGAGUAACACGUGUAUAACCUACCUAUAAGACUGGGAUAACUUCGGGAAACCGGAGCUAAUACCGGAUAAUAUAUUGAACCGCAUGGUUCAAUAGUGAAAGACGGUUUUGCUGUCACUUAUAGAUGGAUCCGCGCCGCAUUAGCUGGUUGGUAAGGUAACGGCUUACCAAGGCGACGAUGCGUAGCCGACCUGAGAGGGUGAUCGGCCACACUGGAACUGAGACACGGUCCAGACUCCUACGGGAGGCAGCAGUAGGGAAUCUUCCGCAAUGGGCGAAAGCCUGACGGAGCAACGCCGCGUGAGUGAUGAAGGUCUUCGGAUCGUAAAACUCUGUUAUUAGGGAAGAACAAAUGUGUAAGUAACUAUGCACGUCUUGACGGUACCUAAUCAGAAAGCCACGGCUAACUACGUG
rnacentral:rRNA from 1 species